UCCCCAAAAUCGGUGGUGAUUUGUUUUUUUUAAUGUGGUUUUCCUAGAGAGUAAAUUUCACAAAAUCACUACUCUAGGGGCUAGAGUUUCACGGAGCCACAGCUUAAGGGGUUCGCAUUACUUUGCCACUACUCUAGGGGUAAUUACUUUCACUUUGCCCAAAUCUAGCGGAUUAGCCCAUUUACUAGUAAAACUGACAUAUUGGGGCCACAUGUAAGUUCCGAUUUUUUUUUCAAAGCUCCUCAUGUUUUUCUCUUUUUUCUCAGACCUUCACCCCUUUCUUCUCAAACUCCGACUUACUCUCUGGCCGGCCGGCCGCCUGCCCG
rnacentral:lncRNA from 1 species